rnacentral:lncRNA from 1 species
AAUAUUGGAGUAACAGAAUCACACGUGGAGCAAGGACACGUGGCUAAUGAUCCACACAUCAAGGAGCGAAGGCGAGGAUUGAGAGCCAGGUGUCCUAAGAGAAAAUAUUCUGAAGGAUACGUUAAAUAAGGAAAUGAUUGACAGUGAGGGGGGGGGGGAUUGGUUGAGAUAGGAUUGAGAGCCAGGUGUCCUAAGAGAAAAUAUUCUGAAGGAUACGUUAAAUAAGGAAAUGAUUGACAGUGAGGGGGGGGGGGAUUGGUUGAGAGAAAUCCGAAUCUUUCCUCCCUCUGAGCUAGUCAGCUUUCUUGUUUUCAUUAUACUUGAAACCUUAACUUCCAUAGCAGCUUUAUGAUUCAAUUUCCUUAUUUGUACUGCUACAUUGAAAUAUCAGUGCAAAGUAUCCUUUUCAUUUCUCAUUUUUUUCUGUGAUGUAAGUUGAACCAUAACAUUUGGAGCCUUCAUUGAUUCCACCAUGGCGGAAAGUACCAGAAUGAAGAGCUUGGAAAACGCCAUCAAUGAAAUCAACAAAGUCCUGCUGAAAUCCCAGGAAGAUACAGAUCGUCGACACGCAGAGUACAUGCAGCACCGCAACUUAGACUAGGCUCGUCUCGAUCGAGUCAACAAUCAACUCAGUUUGCUCCAUGCGUCAAGCUCUUCCGGUGGAAAGAACUCACAAACAACAAUCGUUCAACCGUUUCAGGUACGUAAUAUAAAGCUGGAUUUCCCCCGAUUUGACGGAUCUGAGGUUAUGAACUGGAUUUUUCGAGCGGAACAAUUUUUUGAUUAUUAUGCCACACCGGACAACCAUCGCCUCACUAUCGCCUCCGUGCAUAUGGAAAAGGAUGUGGUACCAUGGUUCCAGAUGAUUUCUCGUAACGCGCCUUUCCAAUCAGGGACCAUGUUCACGCGUGCUUUAGAAAGGGAGUUUGGCCCUCACCCUAUGAAUCUCCUUGAACCUCCCUUUUCAAACUACACCAAACAACCACCGUCGCCGAUUAUUAUACCUGUUUCACCAUUUUAGCCAACCGCUCCGACGGACUCAGCCCUGACGCUACUCUUGACUGCUUUCUGAGUGGGUUGAAACCUGAAAUCCAACGUGACGUCAUCGCACAGACCCCAACCUCCCUCUCACGUGCCUUUCCAUUAGCCAAACUAUUAGAAUAUAAAUACUUUCCUACACCCCCAAAACCAUUAGCCAACCCUGCUUCUAAACCAUACAACUUUCCUUCACCAGGACCAAACACUCGCAAUCAGCCCAGCCCACCACUACUUCCUACACCAAAUACAAAAAACCUAACACAAAUGUCUAGACCUAACCCAGUUAAGAACAUAACCCGUGCUGAAAUGCAAUUACGUAGAGAAAAGGGUUUGUGUUACUAUUGUGAUGAUAUGUUCUCGAUGAAUCACAAAUGUCCAAACCGUCACUACCUUCUUCUGCAAGUUGAGGAAGAUGAAGAAAUUUCCCACCUUCCGGACCCACCCGACCCUAUCACACAAGACCUCAAUCACAGUGGAGAUUCGGCACACCACCUUUCCAUGAAUGCUUUAAGUGGCUCCCACAGAGCUGGUACGUUGCGUUUCCAAGGUCAAAUUCUUGGCAUUAAUAUCAGUGCGUUGUUAGACAACGGGAGUUCUGACAACUUUCUCCAGCCACGUAUUGCUCAGUGCCUCAAAUUACUAAUUCAAUCUGCUGAGCACUUCACAGUUCUGGUUGGCAAUGGAAAUUCCUUAACUACAUCUGGAUACAUAGCAGAUUUACCGGUGGCAAUACAAGGUCACACACUUCACAUUCCAGUAUAUCUUCUUCCUAUCACAGGGGCUGAUUUGGUCCUGGGAGCACCGUGGUUAAAAACCCUCGGUCCACAUAUAGCUGAGUACAAUGCAUUAUCCAUCAAAUUUUAUGCCGACAACACUUUUGUCACUCUAUACGGGGAAAGACACAAGGGUCCCAGCCCAGCACAGUACCAUCACAUUAAGAGACUUCAUCACACUGAUGCCAUUGAUGCAUCAUUCACACUGCAAUGCCGGAAAGUGAAACCGAUUGAGGGUCCCUCUUCAGUCCCUGUACACCCGGAUUUGACAGCUUUACUCUCACAAUUUGAUGAUAUAUUUGCUGAACCACAAGGCCUGCCACCUGAACGAUUACAUGACCAUUCUAUUCCCUUAAUUGAAGGUAGUAAUCCAGUUAAGGUACGUCCAUAUCGCUACCCACAUAGCCAGAAAGCUCAAAUUGAAAAAAUGGUUUUAGAGAUGUUGAACCAAGGUAUUAUUCAACCCAGUUCCAGUCUGUUUUCUUCCCCUGUGUUGCUCGUUAAAAGGAAAGAUGGAACUUGGCAUUUCUGUACUGACUACCGUGCGUUAAAUGCCAUUACUGUCAAGGACAAUUUUCCUAUACCUACUGUGGAUGAACUUCUAGAUGAAUUAUAUGGCGCUCACUAAUUUUCUAAGCUUGAUCUUCGAUCCGACUAUCAUCAGAUUUUGGUCAACCAGGAAGAUAGACACAAAACAGCCUUUCGGACUCACCAUGGACUUUAUGAAUGGCUUGUGAUGCCAUUGGGGUUGUCUAAUGCACCACCAUCAUUCCAAAGUCUUAUGAACCAUGUGUUUCAUGCUCAGCUCCGCAAAUCCGUUUUGGUGUUCUUUGACGACAUUCUGGUGUAUAGUCCAUCCUGGUCUUUUCACUUAAGUCAUUUGGAGGAAGUUUUGCAACUCCUGCGUGAUCACUCUUUGUACGCCAAGUUAGCUAAGUGUUGUUUUGGAUUUGCUAAGGUGGAUUAUUUGGGUCACACUAUAUCUAAUGAGGGUGUUGAGAUGGACCAAGCAAAGAUUCAAGCGGUACUCAGUUGGCCUCUUCCCAAAAAUAUCAAACAAUUGAGGGGUUUCUUGGGGCUGUCUGGCUAUUACCGUCACUUCAUUAGACAUUAUGCAACAAUUGUUGCACCCUUGACUGCCCUGUUACGUAAGGAUGCGUUUACAUGGAGCUUACAAGCUACUGAUGCCUUCAAUGAGCUCAAGAAGGCAAUAAUUGUCGCGCCGGUUUUGGCUCUGCCUGAUUUUACCAAGUCAUUUGUUCUCGAGACGGAUGCGUCGGGUACCAGCAUUGGAGCGAUACUCAGCCAAGAUAAACAUCCGAUUGCGUACUUUUCCAAGAAGCUUAACCCCUCUCUACAACGACAGUCAACUUAUGUUCGUGAAUUAUAUGCAGUCACAGAAGCUAUGGCGAAAUUCAGACACUAUCUCUUAGGUCACAAGUUUAUUAUUCGCACGGAUCAAAAAAGCUUGAAGGCCUCAACUGAACAAACGGUACAGACACAAGAGCAGUAGAAAUGGCUUCACAAGUUCCUCAGAUUUGAUUUUUCCAUUGAGUAUAAACCGGGUAGAGAGAAUGUGGCGGCUGAUGCCUUAUCACGGUCCUUCUUCUUGGCUGUUUCUAGCCCUAUUAAUCCUCUUCUGACUCGCAUUGCUGUUGCCGUGGAUGCGGAUCCUCCAUUGUCCACCAUCAAGCAACAAUGUUUAAAUGGAUCCUGUCCUGAUCCAUUCUACCAGGUUAAGAAUGAAUUAUUGUACUGGAAACAAAGAAUAGUUGUUCCACCUAGUCCCAAUCUGAUUCAAGCUAUUCUCCAAGAAUUUCACUCAUCCAUGCUAGGAGGCCACUCUGGCAUCGCACACACAAAAGCCUGCAUUGCAUCCCAAUUCACUUGGCCAUCCCUAUCCAAGGAUAUUCGCUCCUUUGUGACAAAUUUUUUGGUUUGCUAACAAGCCAAAGCUUCCACGGCCGCCCCUGCAGGACUGCUUCAACCUCUGCCAAUUCCAGCCCAAGUUUGGGAAGAUGUUUCAAUGGAUUUUAUAACGAGACUACCACCUUCUAAUGGAUUCACUAUCAUCAUGGUCGUGGUGGAUAGAUUAUCCAAAUAUAGUCAUUUUGCACCCUUGAAGGCUGACUUUAAUAGCUUUAAAGUGGCUGAAGCGUUUUUGCAUAAUAUUGUGUGUUUGCACGGAUUUCCGAGAAGCCUUGUGUCAGAUCGUGAUAAAGUUUUCACAAGCUCUUUCUGGAAACAUCUAUUCAAACUCAGCGGGACUAUGUUGGCUAUGAUCUCCGCCUAUCACCCUCAGUCCGACGGACAAACCUAAGCUGUUAACAAGUGCCUGGAACUAUAUUUACGUUGUUUUGCAGGGCAAGUUCCACACAAAUGGUCCAAGCUACUGGAUUGGGCGGAGUACUGGUACAAUUCUUCUUUUCACUAUAGUAUUGGUAUGACACCCUUCAAGGCAGUGUAUGGCAGAGAACUCCCUAUAUUACUGAAGUAUGACACGGCAGCUGAUAGUCCACCAUCAUUGUAAACGCUGUUAGCAGAGCGCGACGCUACUCUCCAAUUGCUUCGGGAGAAUUUGAAUCGGGCCCAACAGGUUAUGAAGUAGAAUGCUGUUAAAAAACACAGAGAUAUGGAGUUCAAACUAGGAGAUAUGGUCCUGAUCAAGCUACAACCUUACCGCCAUAAUUCGGUGGCUCUGCAUCACAAUCAAAAGCUGGGUCUCCGCUACUUUGGACCUUUUCCUAUCAUUGAUAAGAUAGGACCAGUGCUGAUUCCAAAGGACAUCAUAGAUGAACGUGUUUUGGUGCACCACGGACAAGAAAUGCAACAAAUUCUAAUUAAAUGGCAGGAUCUUCCAUCAUCGGAAGCAACGUGGGAAUGACGGUAGGAGUUCGCUGCGAGCUAUCCCAACUUUAACCUUGAGGACAAGGUUAAUUUUAAUGGAGGGAGUAUUGUUAUGAAAGGGGGCCAGGAGAAUAUUGGAGUAACAGAAUCACAUGUGGAGCAUCCAACUUUAACCUUGAGGACAAGGUUAAUUUUAAUGGAGGGAGUAUUGUUAUGAAAGGGGGCCAGGAGAAUAUUGG